rnacentral:misc_RNA from 1 species
AAGUCGUAACAAGGUCUCCGUUGGUGAACCAGCGGAGGGAUCAUUACAAGAAGCCGAAAGGCUACUUAAAACCAUCGCGAACUUAUCCAAGUUGCUUCGGCGGCGCGGUCCCCUUGGCGGGGGUACCGCUGCCCCGGCCUCUCCGGAGGUGCGGGGCGCACCGUCGGAGGUCACAAACUCUGCAUCACAGCGGUAUCUCUGAGUAAAAAGCAAAUAAGUCAAAACUUUCAACAACGGAUCUCUUGGUUCUG